rnacentral:rRNA from 1 species
CCUGGUAGCGGGGGAUAACUAAUUGGAAACGAUAGCUAAUACCGCAUAAUAUUGAUUAUUGCAUGAUAAUUGAUUGAAAGAUGCAACUGCAUCACUACCAGAUGAACCUGCGUUGUAUUAGCUAGUAGGUGAGGUAACGGCUCACCUAGGCGACGAUACAUAGCCGACCUGAGAGGGUGAUCGGCCACACUGGGACUGAGACACGGCCCAG